UUCUAUAAGGCCAAGGUGGAGGAGGUCAUGAAGGAAGCCGAGAUGUUGAACAAGCAAAUGGAUGCUUUGAUUGCUUUUAGAGUCAAGGUUGAGAAUCCUCAGGGUUUGGUUUUUGAUAUGUCUGAGAAGACCGUUGAGAUGACUCGUCUUGCUUCUGGGAUUGCUGCUUCUUCCGCUGCGUUAUCGGCUUCCACCCCUAAAGGAGCCAAAUCUGGAAAGAGACCUCACAUGGCCAUGGAGAUCAUUGAUGAAGGUGGGGUUAG
rnacentral:misc_RNA from 1 species